CUACGGGGCGCACCAGUCGAGAAUCUUCCACAAUGGACGAAAGUCUGAUGGAGCGACGCCGCGUGAAUGAAGAAGCCCUUCGGGGUGUAAAGUUCUUUUCUAGAAGAACAAUUUUUGAGCUUAUUCUAGGAAUAAGGGGCUGCUAAACUCGUGCCAGCAGCAGCGGUAAUACGAGUGCCCCAAGCGUUGUCCGGAAUUAGUGGGCGGAAAGCGUCUGUAGGGGGUUUAGUGCGUCUUUUGUUAAAUCUUGACGCUCAACAUCAAGACCGCAAAGGAUACGGCUAGACUAGAGGAUGUGAGAGGCUAAUGGAACUUAAGGAGUAGGGGUGAAAUCCGUUGAUACCUUAAGGAACACCAAAGGCGAAGGCAUUUAGCUGGCGCAUUCCUGACCCUGAGAGACGAAAGCGUGGGGAGUGAAUGGGAUUAGAUACCCUUGUAGUC
rnacentral:rRNA from 1 species